UACGAAGGGUGCAAGCGUUAUUCGGAAUGACUGGGCGUAAAGGGUGUGUAGGCGGUAUGUUAAGCUUGCUGUUAAAUUCUCCGGCCUAACUGGAGGUAUGCAGUGAGAACUGGCGCACUAGAGGAUGAGAGAGAGAAGUGGAAUUCCCGGAGUAGCGGUAAAAUGCGUAGAUCUCGGGAGGAACACCGAUGGCGAAGGCAGCUUCUUGGCUCAUUCCUGACGCUGAAACACGAAAAGCGUGGGGGAGCAAACAGG
rnacentral:rRNA from 1 species